rnacentral:lncRNA from 1 species
ACGUGGGACCUCACUUUGUGAUUGUGGGAGUCAAUACUCCUUAAUAAAAUCCGCUUUAUAUAUACAUCUAUCCUAUUGGUUCUGUCCCUCUAGAGAACCCUGAUUAAUACACCAGGGGUGUGCUCUCUGAGGGCAGAUGCUAUUUCAAUUGGUUUAGAGCUUUACCAUUCAGUCCACGGUAGAAGGUUUAUAUAAUGCUUUGUACGGUCUGAAUCACACUGCCGAUGCUGGCAACAGCCUCCCUCCAGACUUCUUGUUAAGUUAGAAAAAUGCACUGCUGUUUACUCAAGCCACAAAUAAAUUGGGCUUUCUGCUAUUUUUAGCCAAAAGCAUUCUUACAUACAUCAGGUGAUACAGAUAUAUCGUGGAUUUUUUCCACCGCUAAAGAUGCUCAGAGCAGGAUUAACUAGACCAAGGCAGCAUAGGAGCACCCUAAAUGUCUAUGAAUGGUUAAACAAUAAGAGCACGUCACUGGAUGGAAUACUUCAUAUUCACCAGGACAUUCUUGGUUGGAAGUAACAUAAAUCAACUUGGGCUGGCAUACAGAACACGGGGCCUCACCAAGUGGUAUUUAUUUGAAUCCCAGCUCUGCCACUUACUUGCCAUCGUGUAUUUAUUCAAGGUAUUCCUUCUCUUUCCUAUCCAUGCCACUCCUGAUUUUCUGCAAGUAAGGCUUUGGAUGUCAAUGAGGACACCGUGAAAUAUCAAACAUUUGGGCGGAAUGCCACCCCAGCUGCAGAUGACAAGCAGCGACCUUGCCCAGUCUCCUACCAGAGUGAGUUUCCUGCUGUACCAGAACCAGGCAUGGGAGAGCCACCAGCACUGUGCAGAGGCCCCUCUCAAGCUGCCAGAGAAAAGUACAAAUCGCCCCUGUUCACUGGUUGAGUGUCGCUGCAGUUUUCGAGGCUGUCACGUUUCUGCAUCCGUUAGCAUGUCUGUGACAGAAACUGAGGCCAACUAACAAAGGGAUGGAAGCAACAAAGGGAUGGAAGCAUCCCUGCAGAAGGGAUGCGAGAAGAUAAAUAAAAACAGAAAAAUGCAGGAGAAAAUCAAAGAGAAAAGGAUAAAACUGCCAUAAAUGGCAUCCAGUUGCGAUCUGUUAAAAGGGUUCUGACUUUAUUCCUGCCUCCCAGGCCCCUCCUCCUACACUCUGUCCCCACAGAUCAGCACCUACAGGCAUUAAAUUUGUUGCACAAAAAUAUGCACCUGCCAUAAUUCCAGAGUCCCAAAUAUGGUGAAAAUAUAAUUAUCUAUUCAUUGAUCUAUUUAACUGUAAAGGACUCUAUCAAUCGUCUAUCAAUAAGGAAUUUUAUAUACCAAUCUAUCUAUCCAUUUGAUAAUCAGUACCCCAGGCUAUCCUGCUUCAAUAGUAAGAAAAAAACAUUCUCCUCUGUCUCGGUGAAAAAACAAGAUUCAGCAACUCAUGAGCCUUCAAAUUGAGCUGUAAUGAAUAUUGUGUCGUGCUGGUGAUUUCAACCGAAUAAUUCCAGGAAGGCUGGAAAAGGGGUCGGUCUAUCUUCAUCCCUUUUGUCGCCUAAAAGCAAAAUCAUGAGAAAGAAGUCCAGAAUAAAGAUGGUAAUCCUGGGCUGUAAAUGCUGGAACCUCAUCCAUGAUGCCAAUUGCUCCAUAACCACACGGACGUGAACCCCAAAAAGCAUGAGAUACAAGGUGAGAGUAAACACUGCCCCUGUAUGUACAGGUAAUCCCUCUGCUAGCUGUGGGUUCUAAGGCCGACUGCUGAAAAGAUUUUUAACAAUCUAAGAAAAGAAGGAAUCAGAAAAAAAAAACACAAAUAUUUUUUAUUUCUCCCAUUCUUUAAAAAAAAUUACCAGAAAUUGCCCCCUUUAAAUUUCAAAAUUUUCCUAAUUUUACUGUGCCAGCCCGACUCUCAUACCUCACUGAUUAUAUCAUUCCCACACCUGAUGCUCCAACAACCCAGGGUAUACUUUUAGCUCAGUCCUAUAAAAGGCUUCAUAACCUGCACUGAUCUGGAUUCAACGCAGCUGCCGAUGGACAAGAAAAACACAUCUGGAGACUCUGCAGCCGUUCUUUCCAGCUGUUUGUGACUCCCGAAAGACACGUGAGCACUUGGCACCAUCAGGCACACAUCAGUUCGGCUCUCUUCCACCCCCAGGCACAGUCAUCCUGAGCAUUGAAGACACUUUAGAAAAUGGUUGGCAAGUUGCUCUUGCACUGGGAUAAUUUUAGACAAUCUGAUACUUUGACGCUAAAAACAUGUUUGGAAUUGGUGACUGUAAACAAUAAUCGUAGCUUGAACUCUGACCCCGGCAUGGUUGUAUUUUGACUUACCUGGGUAGGAUGCACUAUGGAGGGAGCUGCUAUAAUCCUAAUACUGUGGUGCUUAAACUUUUCGACAUUAUUUUGCUUUCUGUCUUGGGAGGGAGGUAUUCUUCUAUGUCUCUAUUAGCCACUUCUGGACUUUUCCAUCAUCAUUAUAUAGCUGCUUACCUC